AACUCCCCAUACACAUACAUGGCGGAGAAAUGUAUAAAAGUAGACGGAAAAGGAGAAGUAAGUGUUCUUUGUCCACGGCGCUGGAGAGAGGUCGACACGGGAAAGCAGAUUGAGGAAACAGCAACAGACCGCACCCUGGAACCACGGGAGACUUGAGACUCCGCGCCGCCAAGAAGGGACAAGUUCCGGACGCCCAAGCCCUGGUUCCUGAUCCGACCGUCGGUCUUGUCUCAGCCCAGAUAUUGCAACAGACUUGGAGAAAAGACGAAGAUCCCGGAGGGAUAGAGAGCUGGGUUUUUAAAGGAUUUGGACCCGUUCUGCUUUGUUACGAUUCUAAGGAGGAUUUUUUCCACAUAAGGACAAAAAUUCUGACCAAGGCUUCUGGAUGUUUCUGUUGCCAAGAUUCACCAUCUACUGGGUCGAUGGCCUGCAGGAAGGAGGACUGGCAAGGCAGCAGUGGAUGACCAAACAGGCUGCUGAUUAGGCAUCUUGCAUUCAUUAAGGUGUGUUCUGUGAUGCACUGUGUCCAUCAGCCCAAAGAUAUCGGAUAACAAAGCCAAGUGCGGUAAGACGAUCCUGGGGGAGCGCUACGUUUUCAGUUCCACAGAAACAACCUUCUGUUCCAAUGAGACAUGCAGAGGACAAAAAGGGACUAACAGGAGCCACCUUUGAAGAAUCGUUCCAAAACUAAAUGUCAUGAUGGAUGUUUAAGUGGACCCAAAUGCAGCUGGUAGAAGCGUCAAAUAGAGCUUUUGUAAAUUUCAUGGAAAAAUAAACAAACUUACAAAAAGUCAAAGAACACAAACCACAAACCUGCGGGAAAAAGACGGUAGGAAACAGAUGGAAAAAAUAAUGAGUAGAUGAGAGAAACCGGUGAGGAAUGACUGAGAAUAAGAUGCUUAAGUACUCGGAGGUGUUAAUGCUGAAAAAAGGCCUGGGCUGAUGAGCUAACUGAUUGCCAGAGUGAAAAGAGAAAGCAUAAGGCAGACUGAGGAGAGGGAGAGAGAAAAAGAAAGUGGCACAGGGGGCGAGAGAUAGUACAGUGGGGACUAGGAAAUAAAUCUAAGUCCCGGUCCUAAUGCUUGCACUUCCACUUUUGUGUCUUUCAAAUGCUCAUGAGGUUAAGCCUCAUUUACCCUCUUCUUACAUGGGCAAUAGACUGUUGUUCUGACAGUCAGAUAUGUUUACAGAUCUAUGCCGCCUGCUUUCUUAAAUAAAAUGUAAUAUUUUUAAGUUUGUGUACACACAUUUUUGGAAAUAUGGCAAUGCAAGAUAAUGUUGAACGACAUAAUGUCCAAUGUCUGCCAAAUUCUUAGUGGUAUGUUAUGAUGUAGACCUAUUAGACAAAAAAAUGUACACGAAUCAACAUUGAUUCCUUAAGUUUGAUUCAAUAUACAAUUAACACAAAAGAGCAUGCAGAUCCACAUUCAGUUAAUGAUUGAAUUAACAUUGAUAUUGUCUCAGUUAAGGUUGAAAACCUAACAUUGAUUCAACAUGUAAGUCACCGACCACUUUCAAUUUCAUUUCAAUGUCUGACUUCAACGUGGAUUCAAUGUUUCAACAUUUUUUCACUCAUAUUUUGCUACUUUAUUGAUGUCAUUUUGGCAACAUAUUUAUUUGCUAUUUGAGAUUCUACUAUCAUAUUAUUCCCCAUGGCUAAACUUGUUUUGCACCAUCAAGAUUACAAGAUUUCUUUGACACGCUGAGCAGGACAUUUAUUAUGAGUCUCCGAGACCAUGUCGCCACCAAAAAAGAAAAGGACGACAGACAUUAGAAGUUAUUUCGCUACCUCGGCUGAUGCUCAGACAGCAGAGCAAGGGGCAGAGCAGAACGAUGGAGAGGUGGCUGGAGCUUCAGGGCUCCAGGUGAGGUGUUAGUUCUACUGUGAAAUUAUCUCAGUAAAUAUGGCAUUUGAAGUGUUAGUCUUAAAUUAAGUGUAGCAGCAUAAAUGGUACGCUGCCACUUUAAGAUCAAUUUCGGCUGCUGCAUAUAAGCAGGUGUCUACCUGCCACAAGACUACUUGCGUCAUGACGUCAACUCAUUCCGUUUAGUUUGUUUGCUGAGCUGUGCUGGCCUCCCUUGCUGUGCCUCCAACUCCUGGACCAAUUUGUUCGGUUGUUUGCUGCCGGGAAGGUAAGCGCUAGCAUGGCUAGGUAACAUCCGUCUCAUGUAAACGAAGCCUUUAUGUAGUGUUCUGUUACAGCUGCACUCCAUAGGCGAACUUGUGGAUCUGUUAAUCUGGCCGUGUGGUAAUUUACAGGUAAGCAGCUACCAUAAGUUAUAGUUUUUAUCAGCAGUGGUAUUAAUAAUCUACUUUAUUUUUUAGCCUCCUGCCGAGUCCCUGACGACUAUUAUAUUUGGAUGUACACUCGCUGCUGUUUUGCCUACGAUGAAUUGUUUUAAAAGAUUUGUAUGAACUUUCCCCCGCUGCCAGGAGUAUUGAUGGCACCACAAACGGGAUAAAAAAAGCAAUAUUUUAGUGCUAUUGUAUCACUGUUUUACUCAUAUUGUUUAAUUUUUUGUCUUUCUUUUAGGGAAUGAGGCUUCUGUGGUGGCGGUGGUGACCCCUGGUGGCGGUGUCUUGUCUUGUGUGUUUUGUUGGAACACCCCUUUUUGUGUGUGUGUGUGUGUGUGUGUGUUUGCCGUGUCUAACCCAGGGUGAUCCCUUUUCUUCACUGGAUGUUGCCCCUUUCCUCACUACUCUCCCCCCACUGACUUAUGAUGUUUUUGGAAUCGUGUCUUUGGCUCAUCGUCUCCAUAAAUCUGGCUUCAAGCAAAGCUCGAGACCUCACAGCCUGCCUGCUCUGCCUGGCUGUUUCCACCUUUCCUCCCCUGACUCACCAGGCACCAAGCUGCCCCUUCUGGUUCACCGUGGACAAAAACCUGAGUUUUUCCGCCACCUCCUGAAUUCCACAAACACCUUCAAUCUCUUUUGUAAAUAAAUCACAACAAACUGUGUGUCAUGUCUGCAUGUGGGUCAAGAAAUUACUUCAAAACAAGGGGGAAAAGUGGAAAUAAACAUGAAUACUGUAAUUCUAGAAAAACCUCACUGCUUCCAUAGUUUUCAAACAUUCUAUAGACAUUGUAGUAUCUGUAAAACACAUAAAUUCCAUGUUUAUUUGUUGUUUUUUUAGUUUGUUUGAUUUUGCAGAAGAGGGCUGUUUGAGUCAUAAGUGGAAGUGCAUACAGAGAUCACACGAGCCCAAUAUUUAUACUGUUAAACUUAUUGAAACUUCAUGAAUGGACUCUAUAUGAUGAAUAUUUUAAAAUCUAUGUACAAAGUGCAUAAGCUUUUACGAACAAAUAUUUAAAACAUAUUUGUAAAGAGAGAAAGCAAAACAAAUAUGAUGAUGAUUAAGUAAAAAUGGCAUUAAAUUGA